CUUGGAAAUGCUCUUGUCAAGUGAGGCAGCCUCUCAAGGAGACACGGGAAAUUGGAAAGCUGUCAAUUUGAGGAACAUCAAGUUUUUCUUCCACUACAGCUAUCGUCUGGCUAAUUUGUUCAAGCUAGUAACCCCCAAAGAAAGGGAAGACACAGGAGCGAGGAGGCAGGUGGUCCCAGAUGACUUGGGGAGCACUGAGAUGAAGCCUCAGUCUUUGGACUGAUCAUGAGCUCUGGCCCCGCCAGGCCACACAGCUUCCUACAUGCUCUCUGGAGAAGCACUUGCUGGGGACAGACACCACAUCUGUGCAGGCCCUGGAGGAGUUAGUGAGAGCUGCGUCAGAGACGGCAUGACUGGCUAGCGGUCAGAAACCGGAAGUGGGCCUGAGCCCCAGAGACGAAAGAGGAACUCCCCAGUGGAAGCCAAUCACAGACGGCAGAGAAGAAAGCAGCGUAGUGGUGUGGUAAGGCCGAGAGAGCAUCUUUCCUCAUAUUUUCCAAGACCUAGGCUUUUUUUAUCUUUUUUGAAAUUAUGCAGGGGAGUAUCACACAGAGGCCCUCUUACCACAGUGGCUUCACAACCCUUGCGUCGUUUGCAGGGCCAGCACCAGCCCUCAACUGUGACAGAGAGCCAGUGUCUGCACACACCCAGAAGAAACAAGUGAUUCACCUCUCCUGCAGUUGGAAGUACUUCACAGAUGCAUCCAUAAAACCAGAGGGAAUUUGCUAAGGAAGGAAGUUACUCAGAUGAUUUCAAAAUAAAACACCAAAUUAAAUCUUUUUACAGAAAAAGAAGACAGGAGUAGAUUCAUACAGAAUAUUUCUCAACUAAGGAGCAUGAGUACCUUUAUCGGUAGUAGCAUUUUUCAGUUUCUAACAAAGCAAUCUGGCUGAUUGUUAUAUCCAAAGAUAUGGACAUGCCAGAUACUCUGCCAACUAUUUAUAGAUGUCCACAUGUGGUUCCAGACUCCCCUCUGCCUGGGAUGCAGUGGUGAACAUUAGCCCUGUGGUACUUAUAUUCUGAUGGCGUGGGAGGCUCACGCCCACUCCCAGACCACACUUGCUGUAAGUCAAAUCCACAUGCCCAGAAAUCCAGGCAUGGCCUUCCUCCUGACUUCAAGCCUUUCCCGGACUCCAGCCAGACAAUCUAAGAUGUUCUGGACAGAUCUGAAAUCUAUUAGGUGAGUCUAAAGGCGUCUGUGGCAUUGGGUCUUGGUGAGUGUCUGAGUGGUCCCAGAGGGGAGAUUUGGGAUGGCCCAGCUCAGAGCAUGCCUCUGGGGGCACGUCCUGGGAUGGAUUGUCUGUCAGGCAUCUGAACUGCAGGGACAGCAGGGCUCUCUGUGAGCUCAUAAAAGCAACCUACCGAGGCCAGGGGGCUUUGUCAUUCCAGCACUGUGUCCCCGUGGGAUGUUUCUUUCAUCUGGCCACCUCCCAUCCAGGGGGCCACGAAGGCCUUUGGGGAGCAGCAGCCUCAUUGGGUCUGUGGUCCCAACAGCUGACCAACAUCAUACCACGUGGAUGUCUUCAAAGAGUGACACUAAAAUGGUUGUGGGAUUGCAAAGCUGAGGACCCAAGAAAAGCCAGCCAGCCUUCCUGGCCAAACUAGGUGGCGAGUCCGUCAGAGGCAAGGCAGGGGCUUCCUGUUUCUCCACAGCAUAUUUCCUCCCAGAUGUAAGAGGACAGAUUCUGUAUGUAUGAUUUCACAUUGGUCCUGGAGGACCCAAACUCACAGAGACCAAGCGGAGGGCAGCGGCCAGGGCCUGGGAGGAAGGGCACAGUUACAUUCAGUGGGAACAGAGUUUCUUGGCAAAGACAGGAGAGUCCUGGAGGUGAUCGGUGGCACAUCAUGUGAAUGUACUCGACACCAUUUAAAAAUGUCUAAGAUGGCGAAUUUUAUGUUUUACAAUAAAAAGUGAUGGAAAUGUUUAUUUUGA
rnacentral:lncRNA from 1 species